CAAAUACUUACACUUUUACAAUGUGCAAUUGCAACAUUAUCUACUUAGUACCAUUUUUCAUAGUACUUUGUAGCUUUUUUCUAAGAUGCAACACGCUGCAGAGUGACAUUGAUUGCUUGAAAUCAAUAAAAGAUUCGUUGGCAGACCCUUAUAACAUGUUUUCUUCUUCAUGGAAUUUCGACAAUCAGACAGAAGGAUUUGUAUGCAAAUUUACAGGAGUAGAUUGUUGGCAUCCUGAUGAGAACAGAGUUUUAAGCAUUACACUUUCAGGUAUAGGACUAAUCGGUGAGUUUCCAAGAGGCAUUCAAGAUUGCUCUUCUUUAACUUCUCUUGAUCUUUCAAACAACAAGCUAUAUGGAACCAUCCCUUUGGAUAUAUCAAAAUUAGUCGGAUUUGUUGUAAUAUUUGAUAUCUCGAGCAACAAAUUCUCAGGCGUGAUCCCAAAUGAUAUUUCAAAUUGCUCUUUUCUCAAUACUCUCAAACUAGACAACAAUAACCUAGAAGGUCCAAUCCCAUCUGAAAUUGGCUCGUUACAUCGACUCAGGACAUUUAGUGUUGCCAACAACAUGUUGACAGGGGAAGUGCCACGUUUUGUCAAUGAUGCCUUUUCAGCUGAAACGUAUGUAAAUAAUCAAGGACUUUGUGGAGGUCCUCUGAAAGCAUGUGUUUUAGAACACGUAUCGAACAGUCAUGUUCUGUUUGUUUCUGGUUUUGUGACGGGUUGGUUGCUUUUCACUUUACUUGGUAUAUAUCUUUUUUUCUUUGGUUUACCCGGUGUAACGAAGAUGCUUCUAUUGAUCAAGAAGAAAAAAAAGACAGUACUGGUGUCUUAUGGAAGUAAACAUCCUGAAGGAGAAGAAAUAUAUAACUACCUGAAGAUUUUAAAGCUAGAGAAGAUUGCUACAAGAAUGAGUUUUACGGAACUAUCAAAAGCGACUUCAAAUUUCAGCCAAGAAAAUGAAAUUGGGAACGGGAUGCUGGGGAAAGUGUACAAAGCACUGGUCCCAGAGGCCUGGACUGUUGCCAUAAAAAGGCUCCAUGUUUCAGAGGAUUUGGAGGAAGAAUUUGUUUCCGAGAUUACAACUCUGGGUAGUCUGAGGCAUCCAAAUUUGGUACCUCUAAUCGGCUUUUGCUAUGAGAGGGAUGAGCGACUUCUUGUUUACAAAUACAUGCCUAAUGGAAACUUACAUGAGUGGUUGCAUUCAACCGACGACAAGGCAAGACUAUUAGACUUUCCUCUAAGGCUUAAAAUUGUUGUUGGCAUCGCGAAAGCCCUGGCUUGGCUUCAUGAUGGUGGAAAUUUCCAUGUUGUGCAUAGUAACAUUAGCACACAAUGUAUCUUGCUCGAUGAAAAUUUUGAUCCCAAGUUAUCCAAUUUUUGGGAGGCAACACAUGCAAAAACAAAUGACAUAGAUUCUAACAGAAGUCUAUUGCCAAUAGCAGACUCUUUAUGCUAUACAACUUACACGAAAGAUGUAUAUAGAUUUGGGGUUGUGCUUCUUGAGCUUUUAACAAGGAAGGAAUCUUACCAGUUGAGCUGCUUAAGUCAAAAUCAUUUCAACAGUUCUUUUGCAAGUCUACUUGAUGUGGAUAAACUACUGUUAGGCCAAGGAUUUGAUGAUAUGUUAAUGCAGCUACUUGAACUUGCACGUCACUGCAUGAAAUUCAUUCCUGACCUGAGGCCAACAAUGCAACAAGUAUAUCAGAUUGUUGUUGCGAUUGCUCGAAUCAAAGAUCAAACAGGGGACCCUGAAAUACAGUUGCACGUGGACUAGAAGCAAGGGUGGAGCCACCAUCGUAGGCCAAGGAUUUGAUGAUAUGGUAAUGCAGCUACUUGAACUUGCAAGUCACUGCAUGAAAUUCAUUCCUGAUCAGAUGCCAACAAUUCAACAAGUAUAUCAGAUUUUUGCUCGAACCAAGGAUCAAACAGGGGACCCUGAAAUACAGUUGCAUGUGGACAAGAAGCAAGGGCGGGCGGAGUCACCAUCAUAGGUCAUGUGUGUCCUGGGAUGACAAUUUCACAGGGAAAAACUUGCGAAAAUCAAUGGAGGCCAUAUAUAACAUGUUGUUUGCAUCAAAGAGUGGAACAAGCUCAAGAAUAAUGGCCUUCUUUGCAAGAGGAGAGUAUUAGUUGUUGGCGUCCUGGAUGGCAAUUUUGUGUUCUAUGUGGCGUCAUACGUGUAUUAUGCCAUGUAGGACGCAUGUGUCUACUUGUGUCUACCCAAAGUUAGAGGGAAAAAGGGAACAUUUAUGUAUUAUGACUAAAUAAAUUAGUUUCUUUUGUAUUAUCAUUGAUGAAGUUUUUAAGAAUUGAGG